rnacentral:tRNA from 1 species
CAAAGUAGAGCUUGAUAGUUAAGCGCUUCACUUACACUGAGAUGUUAUCUGUGCGAAUCAGAUUGCUUUGA